rnacentral:rRNA from 1 species
UACGUAGGGUGCAAGCGUUAAUCGGAAUUACUGGGCGUAAAGCGUGCGCAGGCGGUUUUAUAAGGCAGAUGUGAAAUCCCCGGGCUCAACCUGGGAACUGCAUUUGUGACUGUAGAGCUGGAGUACGGUAGAGGGGGAUGGAAUUCCGCGUGUAGCAGUGAAAUGCGUAGAUAUGCGGAGGAACACCGAUGGCGAAGGCAAUCCCCUGGACCUGUACUGACGCUCAUGCACGAAAGCGUGGGGAGCAAACAGG